UACGUAGGGGGCAAGCGUUGUCCAGAUUUAUUGGGCGUAAAAAGCGUGUAGGCGGCCAGGUAGGUCCGUUGUGAAAACUCGAGGCUCAACCUCGAGACGCCGAUGGAAACCAUCUGGCUAGAGUCCGGAAGAGGAGAGUGGAACUCCCGGUGUAGCGGUGAAAUGCGCAGAUAUCGGGAAGAACACCCGUGGCUAAGGCGGCUCUCUAGUACGGUACUGACGCUGAGACGCGAAAGCGUGGGGAGCGAACAGG
rnacentral:rRNA from 1 species